rnacentral:miRNA from 1 species
AGUUGGUUGACAUCGGGUCAGA